AUAUAUCGUGCUCCCCAUUAUAGAAAUCUUCUUUCUUGCGUAAUGGAAGAUUCAUCUGACAGAAUAAUAACUGUGCAUUAAGAUAGGGCAAGAG